rnacentral:rRNA from 1 species
CACUGUGGAAUUCGCCCUUAGUUGAUCCUGGCUCAGGAUGAACGCUGGCGGUAUGCCUAACACAUGCAAGUCGAACGGAAUCUUCGGAUUCAGUGGCGGACGGGUGAGUAACGCGUGAGAAUCUGCCUUCAGGAUGGGGACAACAGUGAGAAAUCGCUGCUAAAACCCAAUGUGCCGAGAGGUGAAAUACUUGUAGCCUGAAGAGGAGCUCGCGUCCGAUUAGUUAGUUGGUGGGGUAAGAGCCUACCAAGGCAGCGAUCGGUAGCUGGUCUGAGAGGAUGAGCAGCCACACUGGGACUGAGACACGGCCCAGACUCCUACGGGAGGCAGCAGUGGGGAAUUUUCCGCAAUGGGCGAAAGCCUGACGGAGCAAUACCGCGUGAGGGAGGAAGGUUUUUGGAUUGUAAACCUCUUUUGUUAAGGAAGAAGAAAGUGACGGUACUUAACGAAUAAGCAUCGGCUAACUCCGUGCCAGCAGCCGCGGUAAUACGGAGGAUGCAAGCGUUAUCCGGAAUCAUUGGGCGUAAAGCGUCCGCAGGUGGUUAAUCAAGUCUGCUGUUAAAGACAGAAGCUCAACUUCUGAUAGGCAGUGGAAACUGGGUAACUAGAGUAUGGUAGGGGUUGAGGGAAUUCCCAGUGUAGCGGUGAAAUGCGUAGAUAUUGGGAAGAACACCAGUGGCGAAGGCGCUCAACUGGGCCAUAACUGACACUCAGGGACGAAAGCUAGGGUAGCGAAAGGGAUUAGAUACCCCUGUAGUCUUAGCUGUAAACGAUGAACACUAGGCGUUGCUUGUAUCGACCCGAGCAGUGCCGUAGCCAACGCGUUAAGUGUUCCGCCUGGGGAGUACGCACGCAAGUGUGAAACUCAAAGGAAUUGACGGGGGCCCGCACAAGCGGUGGAGUAUGUGGUUUAAUUCGAUGCAACGCGAAGAACCUUACCAGGACUUGACAUCUCGAGAAGUUCGCCUCAUAGCGAAUGUGCCUUAGGGAACUCGAAGACAGGUGGUGCAUGGCUGUCGUCAGCUUGUGUCGUGAGAUGUUGGGUUAAGUCCCGCAACGAGCGCAACCCUCGUUCUUAGUUGCCAGCAUUAAGUUGGGCACUUUAGGAAGACUGCCGGUGACAAACCGGAGGAAGGUGGGGAUGACGUCAAGUCAGCAUGCCCCUUACGUUCUGGGCUACACACGUACUACAAUGGUUGGGACAAAGGGCAGCGAGCGAGUAAUCGUAAGCGAAUCUCAUCAAACCCAGCCUCAGUUCAGAUUGCAGGCUGCAACUCGCCUGCAUGAAGGAGGAAUCGCUAGUAAUCGCAGGUCAGCAUACUGCGGUGAAUUCGUUCCCGGGCCUUGUACACACCGCCCGUCACACCAUGGAAGUUGGCCACGCCCGAAGUCGUUACCCUAACCGUUCGCGGAGGGGGAUGCCGAAGGCAGGGCUGGUGACUAGGGUGAAGUCGUAACAAGGUAGCCGUACCGGAAGGUGUGGCUGGAUCACCUCCU